UUGGUCUGGAUCACUUUGUGGUGAUCUCUCAGGUGAACAGUUCUCAUUCCCUUAGCAAUAUUUUUGCAACAUGGAUCUUCGUCUUGAUAUUGAGAGCCUACAGCCCCCAUGCUUAAUCACAAUGCACUUCACCAUGAAGACUGCUCUGAGUUCUUCCUGGAACCAGUGUGCGCCAGCCAUGAGUCAAGCUGGAAGGCCCAAUGUGAUAAAGACUUCACACACUUUCCACCCUACCCUCAAGUCUCUCUUCAAAAGAAUUUGCCUGCCAUGAACUGUUCUCUGCCAAGCCACCUGC